AUUGAAACACCAGUUCUCAUAAGAUCACCAAAGUUAAGCAACAUCGUGCAUGGCAAGUACCUAGAUGGGUGACUGGUUGUGAAUACCAGAUGCU